rnacentral:lncRNA from 1 species
ACAUCCCACAGUUUUUUCACAAACAGUAAAAUGAGCAAGACCUGGAUCAGGAGGAUGGUAUUAAAACCCAGGAGUGAGACUGGGAGAAACAGGCUUCAUACCUGGCUCUACUGCAGGCUCUCUUUGGCAAGGAUAACCUCACGGAGACUGGCUUGUGCCACGGACAAAUGUGGAGGGUGGAAGACUGAAAGAUGAUUAUUUCAAGGGCUGAUCACUUUUGGGCUGCCAAUGGUCAUCAUGGUUAGCUGUGUGUCUGGGAGUGGAUGGUGGCAAUCACUUUUUGCUGUCAGAGCUGAUCUUUUUGAUCUAAUCUACUGCUCUUCUGUGUACUAGCUGAACACAACAGUAAAAAUUACGAAGAUUAGCUGUCUUUGAAUUUUCCUGUUUAUUUUUCCUGCUUUAAACUAGUGAAAGUCUUAGGACCUCUGUCUGGGACCAGAGAUAUCAAAAUUUUCCUGCUUAAACAAUCAACUUUGAAAUUUAGCACAUGCUUUGUAAAUCCACACUUGAAAAAUUACAAUAAGGAGUAAGGAUCUCAUGAACCUCAUCCUGCAUCUAAUGGAUGCACUAUAUGGAAAGUUUCCAUUGUGUUUAAAGAAGAUGGAAUUGAGUUGCUGCUUUUAAAGUGGAUUGUCUCCCUUAAAGAGUAAGAAUACGUAGUUUAUGAAGACAAAAAGCUAUUUCUGAAUGAGGAUCUGUGAUAGAGGAGUUAUGGUGGAGGGACUGGGAAUUUAAAAUGUUUUGUUGUCUAAAGUGUCUGAAUUGGAUUGUCUGUAGAGAGUAAAAGCAAAAAGGUGUGCUUUAUUCUGUGUUGGUCCUCUCUCUUGUGCAGUGAAAGUCAAAAUACUAUUUUGGAUUGUAGGCAGAUGUUGGUCUUUUUUCCUGCUAAUCUUCCCUGUAGAUGUGUUUUUUCUUAUCCAGUGUGUACCUUGUGAGUAAAUUAAAGGCAUUCAUAAUGCCUUUAUUGAUAAUUCUAUCAAUUGACUGGGAGAAAAUAGAAAAUUAUCGCUUGCAAAAUUUGCAGGUGAC